GACGAACGCUGGCGGUGCGCCUUAUGCAUGCAAGUUGAGCGAAGCAUUUUGGUAGUUUACUACUGAAAAUGACUGAGCGGCGAACGGGUGAGUAACGCGUGAGUAAUCUACCUUAGUUACUGGGAUAGCCCGAGGAAACUCGGAUUAAUACUGGAUAUUCUUAUUUUUUCACAUGAAGUUUUAAGGAAAGGUCAGCCGAACUAAGAUGAGCUCGCGUUCUAUCAGCUAGUUGGUGGGGUAAAAGCCUACCAAGG
rnacentral:rRNA from 1 species